rnacentral:rRNA from 1 species
AUUGAACGCUGGCGGCAGGCCUAACACAUGCAAGUCGGGCGAGUGGCGGACGGGUGAGUAAUGUAUGGGGAUCUACCUGCUGGCGGGGGAUAACUACUGGAUACGGUAGCUAAUACCGCAUACUAUCAGAUGAACCCAUAUGGGAUUAGCUUGUAGGUGUGGUAACGGCUCAUCUAGGCGACGAUCCCUAGCUGGUCUGAGAGGAUGAUCGGCCAAACGGGGACGGAGACACGGCCCGAACUCCUACGGUAGGCAGCGGUGGGGAAUAUUGCACAAUGGGCGCAAGCCUGAUGCAGCCAUGCGGCGGGGAUGAAGAAGGCCUUCGGGUUGUAAAGUACUUUCAGUCGGGAGGCGGUACCGACAGAAGAAGCACCGGCUAACUCCGUGCCAGCAGCCGCGGUAAUUC